CCUACGGGUGGCAGCAGUGGGGAAUAUUGGACAAUGGGGGGAACCCUGAUCCAGCCAUGCCGCGUGUGUGAAGAAGGCCCUCGGGUUGUAAAGCACUUUCAGUGAGGAAGAACGCCUGGUGGUUAAUACCCAUCAGGAAAGACAUCACUCACAGAAGAAGCACCGGCUAACUCCGUGCCAGCAGCCGCGGUAAUACGGAGGGUGCGAGCGUUAAUCGGAAUUACUGGGCGUAAAGCGCGCGUAGGUGGCUUGAUAAGCCGGUUGUGAAAGCCCCGGGCUCAACCUGGGAACGGCAUCCGGAACUGUCAAGCUAGAGUGCAGGAGAGGAAGGUAGAAUUUCCGGUGUAGCGGUGAAAUGCGUAGAGAUCGGGAGGAAUACCAGUGGCGAAGGCGGCCUUCUGGACUGACACUGACACUGAGGUGCGAAAGCGUGGGUAGCAAACAGGAUUAGAUACCCGAGUAGUC
rnacentral:rRNA from 1 species